AUGAACGCUGGCGGCGUGCCUCAUACCUGCAAGUCGAGCGCACGGACGAGAAGCUUGCUUUUCUGAUGUUAGCGGCGGACGGGUGAGUAACACGUGGAUAACCUACCUAUAAGACUGGGAUAACUUCGGGAAACCGGAGCUAAUACCGGAUAAUAUUUUGAACCGCAUGGUUCAAAAGUGAAAGACGGUCUUGCUGUCACUUAUAGAUGGAUCCGCGCUGCAUUAGCUAGUUGGUAAGGUAACGGCUUACCAAGGCAACGAUGCAUAGCCGACCUGAGAGGGUGAUCGGCCACACUGGAACUGAGACACGGUCCAGACUCCUACGGGAGGCAGCAGUAGGGAAUCUUCCGCAAUGGGCGAAAGCCUGACGGAGCAACGCCGCGUGAGUGAUGAAGGUCUUCGGAUCGUAAAACUCUGUUAUUAGGGAAGAACAUAUGUGUAAGUAACUGUGCACAUCUUGACGGUACCUAAUCAGAAAGCCACGGCUAACUACGUG
rnacentral:rRNA from 1 species